UUUCCUUAUCUAACUACAGGGGAAUGAAGAAUGAAAUUAAGCCCCCCUGUUUUCAUUUAGCACCUCCUCUAGCAAGUCAUUGCUGUGGCUGGCAUGGGAGAAAGGUUUAUGAGGAACAACUCCACUAUCACAGAGCAAGCAAAAAGGGGUUCACUGGCUGUCUGGGUCCCAGAAGGGGAAGUUUUCUUCAAGGUACAGAAGCCAUGACUCUGCAGAGAACUGCAGCUGCCGGCCAGGUGUGGGAGGCUGCUGGGCUGAGCUUCCCCGGCGGGUUGACUUAUUUUCAUCAGCACCAAGGCCGCUGGAGGGAGGAUCAUCCACCAGCAAAGGAAGCGGGGGCGUGGCUUGGAGGCUGUUUCAGAAGUCCCACUGAGCCAAGGACUCAAGGCCUGGCCACAGUCCUCCCCCAUGAGGCCCAGAUCAUAUUUCACCACUCUCAGAAAACCUUCUCUGCUCAUUUUGGUCCACGGUGAUUUUGCUUUCUGUAGGAUCUCCCUUGCACUCUCCAUCCCACAGAGUUCUAAAUCUUAAUGGAUUCCAACGAUGAAGUUAAAUCAGGCCCCACCGCAAUUUUUUGAAUUAGAAUCAGUGGGGCUGGAUCUCAGCAUCUGUAUCUUAGUGUUUCUCCAUGUGAUCCUUACGCUGAAAGGCUGGUAUUUGCAAAUCCCUUUUUUCCGGGGGCGAAGGGUUUUUUUAGAGACAGGCCUCACUCUGAUGCCCCAUCUGGAAUGUGGUGGUGGGAUCACAGCUCACUAGAGCCUCGAACUUCUGACCUCAAGAAAUCCUCCCACCUCGGCCAACCAAAGUGUCAAGAUUACAGGCAUGAGCCACUGCGUCCGGCCAGGAAAGCCCUUCUGUUUCACCUGAGUGAUAUUUCUGCAGCGUACCUAUAGCCAUUGUUGCAUUAAACUGCAUCAUUGCGGGAAAAGAAAAGGCGAGAGGUGAGUGUUUUGCUUUUUUCUGAACAUAUCAGACCAAACCUGGGCUGUUUAGCAUUUUUUUGUUUAUUUCUUUUUUGAGACGGAGUCUCGCUCUGUCACCCAGGCUGUAGUGCAGUGCAGUCACGUGAUCUCGGCUCACUGCAACCUCCACCUGCCAGAUUCAAGCAAUUCUUCUGCCUCAGCCUCCCGAGUAGCUAGGAUUAUACAUGUCAACCCCAUAAACCCAUGCCCAGCUUUUUUUUUUUUUUUUUUUUUUUAAGUAGAGAUGGGUUUCACCAUGUUGGCCAGGCUGGUCUUGAACACCUGACCUCUGGUGUGCAUCUGCCUCGGCUUUCCAAAGUAUUGGGAUUACAGGCAUGAGCAAUGGUGCCCACCCUGUUUAACCCAUUUUUUGACAAUGUAUCAACAUCAUUUAAAAUAGGCAUGGCCAGCUGGGUAUGGUGGCUCACACCUGUAAUCCCAGCACUUUGGGAGGCUGAGGCGCGUGGAUCACAAGAUCAGGAGUUCGAAACCAGCCUGACCCACAUACUGA
rnacentral:lncRNA from 13 species